UUUGUAUUACUAAUACAUAAAAAAUAAAAUGUAUUAUUAAUACUCAUUUUAAUACAUAAUAGAGUGUUGCAUUAGUUAUACAUAAGCAAAAAAAUAUACCAAACUAGUUACUAAUAAUACACAUUAACUAAUACAUGCAUUAUAUUUUCUAAUACACUCUACCAAACGAGCCCCGAAGGAAAUAAAAGAAACAUCUAGACAUCAUUUCAUCUUCUUCCAAGCUCUCGCCGCCAUAGCCAAAGAAUUAGGAAAAAAAGAUCGGAGAGUUAUCUAGAUCUAUUGAGAGAGUUGUCUAGAUCUAUUGAGAUGCCGAAAAUAGAUUUGAGUUCCUAUCGACUACACAUCAACCUUAUAUAAUCAAAUUAUGGGAUUAACAUUGUCAGCAACCUCAAAGCUUUCACACAGAUGUUAUGGCUUAAUUGUACCCGUCUCGAAAUAUCUUCACUAUUGAAUCAUAAGGUCCAUGCAUGCCUCAGCAAAAUAGGUAACUCUUAAUCAUUUUCCAUCAGAAAUAUGCUCAAAUACACACUGUUGCGUUUUCUUUUUGACCACCUCUUCCACUGUUUUUCUAUUUUAGAUUGAGUCUCAAUGAGACUAAUACCACACAUCGAGGAAGGAAAAGUAGUUGAGAGGACCAAAAGACCACAUCCCUACUGAAAUUUCUUUUAAAAAUAAGAAAUUUUAACCCUUUGUGAUUUAGUUCGCUGCUCUUUCUCUAGCUGGUUUAAGUAUGAUAUGUUAGAUUAAUGGAGAAAUACACCACAUAUUUACAUAAACCAAGAACACCUAUAAAAUAACAAAAUAUGCAUGAGAAAAGAUGCGUAUCUUUGUCCGUCAUUAUAACAUAUAAUUGAAGAUGAUUUGUCUGUCCGUCACUACAUCGUGUAACUAAAAACGAAUAAGGCUAAGUCUUCCUCUUUUUUACUUAUGACGGUUGGCAGCUUAUGAAAUACGUCUUAUAUUGAAGUCAGAAGAGGACAUUUAGCCUUAUAUUUAUAGGCUUAAAAGUCUUAAACUAGUGCAUCCCAUUAUGACCAGCCCACACUAAUAACAUGAAAUUGAUACAGGCUCAUAUGGAAUCUUCAUGAAUACACGGUGUGUGUCUUGUCUAUCAAUUUAUAACAUCAGUUCAUUUUAUUUCUAACGUAAUAAAAAGUUAAUGUUAAAUCAACAUAAAAUAAAUAAUUCUAACAUUCUCCCACUUGGAGAACGUUAACUUUUAAAGAAAAAUUUUGAAAAAUUUAUUUUUAUGAAAAUGACUCUCGAGCUGAAUAAACAGUAACCAUAAACACUUAGUGGUGGAACGCCAUCUCCAACAUAGUUCAGUCAAGCAAAACAUCACUGUUGAACUGUAGCAGUACCUGCAUCAACCAACGACACAAGACCAGUCCACAAUUACAAACGUUGAAGUUUUGUAGACAUAAAUCAAAUGAUGUGAUAGUGUAGUAAGAAAUAGCCAACAUGGACUCCAAAUCGAUGCUAUUUCAUUGUUAGUCCUUCAAACGAUUUUUCAUAUCAAUAUGUAUGCUUAAAAUCAACAUGUGUAUCAUAGAAAAAUUGUCACUGCAAUUUUUUGUUACAACAUGUGUGAGCACUAAAAUAUGUGCUCCACCAGAAAAUCUUGAUUUUUAACGUUCAACAUGUGUAACAUAUUACAUGGUGUAACAAUCAAAAAAAUUCACAAGGUAGAAUGAUAUACCAUAUAUAUCUCUAAAAGAAAGAUCCAAUAAAAUAAUAAUAUGAUCUUAUUAAUAUGAGACAUAACCAACACGUAAGGCAAAAAAUCUUAAUAUAAUAAAAUAAUAUUAAAAUGUGAAUGAUGAACUUACUCUCAUUGAUCUUGAGAUAGAUGCAAUGAUCAAUCUUGUUCUCCACAAAUUUUAUAGUUGUGAUAAUUUCUGCAAAUUUCAAGUACCAUUGUCAAGAAGCUUGCUUCAAGUCUUAGAUUUCUUCAACUUACACACAAGAUGUUCACUGCCUUUACUAACAGAACCUUGAAAUUGUUGCAUGUAAACCUCUUCAUUAAUAUUGCCAUUAAAAAAAAAGAUGUCUUUAUAUUCAUAUGAUGUAGCUCAAGAUCAAAGGAUCUCAUUCGUUGCCCAGUCUCAGCUUAUCUACCAUAGUACUCACCCUCGUGAUUCGACGUCACUAUCUUAAUGACCUUUUCUAGCUGUUUUUCUACUUCAGUUUUAAAUACUUUGAACAUUCAAGAGAAUUUGUGGGAAUGAUUUCUAACAAAUCAAAACUACGAGUAGCGUUCUUUUUUUUCAAUCAACUUUUUUCUAAUGGAAUCAAUACAUGUUUCUAUGUCACCAAAAUCAAGAGAAGGUAAAAUAUUAUACUUAACCAAUCUAUCAAUUCUAUCUUUAGAGAUAUGACCUAAAUGCUCAUGCCAUAACAUGCUCGAUUUCAUUUAAAAUUGGUUGUUUAGACUCAACAAUUUUAGAAGUAAAAGAGUUGUAUUCAAAAUCAGAAGUCAAGGAAAUUUUAAAUAAACCAUCAGAUAGGAUUUCAUGACCAACAAAUCGAAAGUUCAAAAGAAAAUUAACUUUAAGAGAAUUAAAAUCAUAAUCAAAUUUGUCUAAAACUGAAAUAUAAAUUAAAUUUUGUCUAAAAGAUGGUACAUAAAGAUUGUUUUUAAGAACAAGCUUAUAACCAGUUUGUAAGUUUAAAACUACAAUUUCUAUGAACUCUACUUCAACUUAGACAUCCGCGGCGAGUCUAAUUCUUGACUCUGUUUCCUUUGGGUUCCUUUUAUUUUUGGACCUCUGGAAGGAAAUGUCAAUAUGAGUAGUAGCUUCACUAUCAAACCAUAAAAAAUUAAUGGGGGCAUCUACAUUAGAUCUUUCAAACUUUCUAGGUUCAUAGCAAGAGAUUGCUUUUGAAUCAUGAGAAGCUAACAUAGCAACCUCAUCCUUCUCCCUUUUAAAUUUUUCCCCUUUCAAAAAACACAUUUGAAGAUGAGAUCCUUGAUUGAUCAAGAUUCAUCCCGAGUAUUAUAAGCAGUUUUCAUUUGGCUAAACUCAGCAGGCAAAGAGUUAAGAGCAUAGUGAACAAUGUAACUAUCAGGAAGAAUUAUUUUAAAGGUUUUUAGUUUGGACUGAAUAUGGACCAUCUUAUGUAUGUAAUCUCUAACACCCCUAGUAAAGUCAUACUUCAUCCUUGCAAGUUUAUUCAUUAGAUCUCCACUCUUAGCCUUAUUGGAUACAAGAUACCUUUCUUCCACUUGGGCAAGAAACUUUUUUGCAUUGAUAGCCACUUUUGAGGUGCUCAACAAUCAACCUCCUAAAGGCAAGGAUGCAUGGCCUAUUAGAUCUCUCCCACUUAGCAUUAAAUUCUUUUUCAGCAGUUGUACUAGAAUCAACGAGAGCUGGAGGCUCAUCCUCAUGCAAGGCUUGAACUAUGUCAGCCAUGCCAAAGUAAAUUCAAGAUCUUAUUUCCAUCGCUUAAAGUUAGAGUCCGAUAGAACCACAACUUCAACAUUGUUAUUAUUUAAAUAAAUGGUAACUUUUCACAAUAUAACAUGAAUGAAUUUAUCAAAAUAGCAAGGCAUAAGAAUAAUAAUCUUAUCACAACGAUAAGUCCCGCAGCAUUAACAAGUAGCCCCGCUUUGGGCAAAGAAAGAAAAUAUUUUCAAUAUUAGAAACCUAUCUCCUUUGGGCAGAUAAAUUUACUAAGUAAAAAUAUUUUCACAUAAUUGGGUUCAUCACAAUACUAAUUUAAAACACACAAUAAAUCUCCCUUGGGCAGAUCAUUGUAUGUUCUAACUUAGUGAUAUCUCUCAAAAUAGAUUAAACAAUUCUCAUAAAGUAAAGUAAAUAGGUCACUUUGGUGUACUUUAUUUACCCUAAUUUAUAAAACAAAUUCAAUCUCAGGGAUUCAAUAUGCCAUUGCUUAAUUUGUUCUGUGACACAAUAAGUAACCACACUAUUAAAAUAUUAUAAAUUUGAUUUAGUUGCAAUUCAAAUGAAAUCAAAUUCAAAUACAAUAAAUAAAUAAUAAUUCGACAUUUUUAUAAACAAUAGCUUAAAAUUUUUAAAUUUCAUAAAAUAAUUAACUUUUUAUAUUAUUUAAUCUAAGCAUAUGAAACUAAAUAAAUGAAUGAAUUUUUAAUAACAUAGUCGCCAGAACACAUCUUAAGAAAUCUUUAGUUCAGCCAACUUUACUCCAGCCAAUAUCAAAAAAUAAAUAAAAUUAACAUUCUGUAAACAAGAAAUACAACGGAAAAAACACUUGGAUACAACACAUCUUUCAUAAAAUCUUUUUCAAGUUCAUUUUUUGGACACAAGUCUAAGAUUAUCUUAUCACCUUUCACCACAAGGCUUACAAUUUUUCAUUUGAAAUCUUUUCAAAAUACGAUCAAUAUAGGCCUUUUGUGAAAGCCCCAAUAACUUACGAGAUUUAUAUGAUGCCUUUUCUAGAUCUUUCAUAUCAAACACUUUGUUCAAUGAAUGCUUAGUUUUAUGCAACAGUUCCAAAUUUAAGUCAUUUAUUUCAUACUCAGACUUGCAAGACCACCUCAUAUCCAUAGCCUUUUUAAUUCAAAAGCAUGUUAAUGACCACCCAAAAUAUUUAAACAUUAGUUCUUGUUUCAAAAUAAGAAAACUUAUGCAAACUACCCCCUUCCCUUUUCAAUACUUUAUCAUAUGGUGGUCAUUUUUCAUUAAUCAUAUGCAAAUUCUUUAUUAGAAAACAUGAGCAUUUGUAAAUCAAGAAAAAACCCCUCUUAUUCUUUCAUAAAAUAAUAAGAAUCCAUAACAUUGUUAAGACAAUGAGUUUCAUAACAAGAGAGAUAAUCACGCAAAUCAUGCUCUUAUGUAACUUUUCAAACUAAUAAUACAUGUACACAUGAAAACAAUUCAAGUUUAGGAAAAACAACCUCAUAGUUUAUAUAAGAUUGCAUUAUAAAACGGGGCUUACAAUACAUGCUCUUCAACAAUUUCAAAACCCAUCUCAUUUACAAAAUUAAAUACCGUAAAUGCUUGUUUAAUCGAUAAAUUUAUGCCCACGAAAUUUAGGAUAGUCCCACAUACAAAAAAUUUUGCAUUUUAAGAUUUAACUAUUCUAGUUCCCCUUGUAGUACAAUAGAACAUGUAUCCUUUAGAAUGAGCUGGAUAACCAAUGAAAAAAAUGUGAGGUUCUAGAUUCAGUUUUUUUUCUAAAAGGUUAUACAUUUUUCCUCCGCAGGAUAUUCCUAAACUCAAAAAUGAUUUAAACUGAGUUUUCUAUUCAUCCACAACUCAAAAGGGGUUUUAGGGACUGACUUGGAAAGAACACAAUUAAGAAUGUACAUAAAUGUUUUGAUAACUUCACCAUAAGUUAGAUCUAUUCAUCAUACUUCUCAUCAUGUCUCUUAAAGUACGGUUUCACCUUUCAAGAUAGUGAAAAUUUUUGAAACAAUUUUAAUUUGUAAAUACUACCAAUAUACUUUAAAACAUAUUUAUUUACUUUUGACAAGGUAUAAAGCAGCGGAAAACUUUGUCAAUGAAGACAAUCAAUCUUUUGUAAUUACAGCUCCUGACAAUUUUCUUUUAAACUAACAACACUCCGUUGAUUAAUUUUCACAUCGAACGGCAACAACUGAUCCAUUACCCAUAACAAUAACUCCUAGGACCUGAAAACACACCACAAUUUUUAAAAAUCAGAUUCAAUUGAUUUGGUCCAUCUACUUUUCCAAAUUCAAUUAAUUUGGCCAUCGGCUGAAUCUUAAUCAUAUGUACACCUUUUUUAAUAUGGAGUAAAGUAGUGUGUAGCAAUCGGAACAAAGUUAGCAGCCAAAAGAAAAAGGAAAAUCGUUUCAGAUUUAAGUUUAAGAUGAAGUGCAUCACGAUCAUUAUUUUCAAUUAUUUUUCUCAUGAACUGAGUAAUAGAGUUCAAGAUCUAUGUUAAAAGCUCUAAUACCAAAUGCUAAAUUAACGGAUAAACACACCACAGAUUCACAUAAACCAAGAACACCUAUAAAGUAACGGAAUAUGUGAGAGAAAAGGUACGUACCUUUGUCCUCCAUUAUAUCAUGUAAUCGAAGACGAUUUGUCCGUCAUUACAACACAUAACCUAAGACGAAUAAGACCGAGUCUUCCUUUGCUUUGCUUAUGACGGCUGACAGCUUAUGAGAAUACAUCUUAUGUUAAAGUCAGGAGAGGGGACCGACCUUUAUAUUUAUAGGCUUAAAAGCCUUAACCUAGUGCACCCCCAUUAUGGGUUCACAAGUCUACUACAGGCCUACACUAAUGUCAGCCCACACCAAUAACAUGAAAUGGAUACAGGCCCAUAUGAAAUCUGCAUGAAUACAUAGCCUGUGUUUUGUCCACCAACUAAUAACACCAGGCCGUUUUACUUUUAACGUAAUAAAAAGUUAAUGAUAAGUCCACAUAAAAUAAAUAAUUCUAACAUGAUAUGUAGGGAUUGUUUGAUAGAGUGUAUUGAAAAAUUAAUGCAUGCAUUAUUUUAAUGUGUAUUAUUAAUAGUUUGUUUGAUAUAAUUUUGCACCCUAUGUAUAACUAAUGCAUUAGUUAUACACUCCAUUGUGUAUUAAUGUGUGUAUUACUAAUACCUCAAAAUUCAUGGUAUUGGCAAUGCAGUGAAUUCAAUACAUGCAAUAACAUGAUUAAAGACACUAUUAUCUCUCAAAAAAAUUCACAUCCUUUCCAACAUAUAUGUGGAGGAUAUUUUUGUAAAUUUUUUUUUUAAGAAAUUAUUUAAUUCAUAUUGUUUUUAAUACAUCAAACCAAACACUGCAUUAAAAAAAUACAAGCAUAGCUAACACAAGUAUUACUAAUACAAGCAUUAUUAACACGCUAUAUUUUGCAUUCUUCUUAUACACUCUACCAAACUACCCCUUAGUAUAUAUUAUUGCUCUAGAAGAAUGAGCAUUUGUGCUUUCUUUGAUAAUGGUUGAAAAUCAGUAAAAUUAGUUGUACUCGCAAAAUUGAACACCCAAUUAGUUAAAAGUUUUUGCAACUUAUAGCAAUAUGAUAGUCUCACAACUAUAUAAAUUAUAUUUUGUCUUGUAAAUUCAACUUAUCUCUAAGCGAAUCUAUUGAACAUGAUUAACGCGAGUUCAAGCAGCUCAUCUUUUACCAAAUAUUUAUCCUAAUCCACUUUUCCAAAAAAAUACAACAUAAAUUUAUGCCCAAGUCUAUUUCUAGUAAUAGCUAAUCAGGACCAAGUCUCAUGGAUAAAUCACAGAGGAAAUUUUUGAAGAUUGAAGUAUACAAGAAAUAAAGAGAAUAUAAAUAAUAGUGAAUCUCUGUUGUCAUCUUUUAUCUACUUGUGUUCAUGCUUUUUACAAUCAGAAUUUAUUUACAAAAGGAUCUUAUAAAAUGAUAAAGAAAUAGACCUUGGGCCUAACUUAACCUUAAAAGUUAGCUCAUGAGAGGAGGAUUGCCCAAGACCAUAUAAGGAGAUCAAGGACCCUUUAACCCACCGAUGUGGGACUCCAACACCUCGCCGCACGCCCAUGGCUAGACAUCUGGAGCGUAAACAAUAUAAGACGGGGGGCCCAACAACGGAAACAAUGAAUUGGGUGGGCCUGACUUUGAUCCUACGAUAAAAAAAGAAAAAAAUAUAUAAAGUAGCAUACUUAAGUAUUAAAUUAUAAAAAAUAACCACAUUUUUAUCAAAUUACAUUUUGUAGCAUAUGUAUUUAUAUUUUUGUAGCAACAGUUUGCAAAAACACAAAAUACAUAUCGAUCAUAAGGGCAGUAAAAAUCAUAUGCAUUUGUGUUUUUGUAGCAACAAUUUGCAAAAAUACAAAAUACAACUUGCUAUAUUAUGUAAUUAUGAAAUUGUUGCUAUGAAACUCAUAAUUAAGAGGAUAAGUAUGCUAUUUCUGAAUUUUGCCCAUAAAAAAAUAGAUCUUAGGCCUAACUCAACCUCAAAAGCUAGCUCAUGAGGAGAGGAUUGCCCAAGACUAUAUAAGGAGACCAAGGACCCCUUUAGCGGACUUCAACACCCCCGCACGUCCAUGGCUGGACAUCUGCAGUGUGGACAAUAUAAGACGGGGGGCCCAACAUCGAAAAUAAUGAACUAGAUGGCCUGACUCUGACACUAUGAUAAAGAAGGCCUAACUCAACCUCAAAAGCUAGUUCAUGAGGGGAGGAUUGCCCAAAACCAUAUAAGGAGAUCAAGGACCCUUUAAUCCACCGAUGUGGGACUUCAACAUAAAAAGUCUAGACACAAGUUAACAAAAAGGUGACAACAUAGACCUUUGUAUUCCCCACCUCCCAUCUUUUAAUAUGAUAAUGAAGGCGUUAGACUUAUCUGAAAGUUCUGCCAAAAAUUCUCCAUAUGAUUUAUCGAUGAGACUUGAUCAUGUGACAUAGCUAAUAUAGAAAAUAGCCAUUUGUGAGCUUUAUUAGGUUUUAGAUGAGAAUCUGAAUUCGAGAAAAAAUGAGUCAAUUUUAAAACUAAAAUUAGCGUCGUUUUUCUUAAAAUGGAAAAAAUGCAGAGUGGAGUAAGAGUUAAGAGGAGCGGAGUAGGAGUUAAAGAAAAGCUUUUGUGGUUGGGGACAAGAAGCAUGUGAUACCCCUCAUAAUUUUAACACUAUUUUGACUUUUCAUGAAGAAACAAUCACAUUUUUCAUUUCUAUGUCAUUUCCUAAUUUCAUUUUGGUCCGUGUGUAUUUGACUGCACACAUCUAACCUUGAAUUAUCUAAAAUGAAUAAUUUUAGUCUAAUUACUAGCUGAUCUGAACAAUACAAAUAAACCAUAUGUUACUAUUACGGACAAUUUUGAAUUGCAUAGACUACUUCAUACAUUAUACACUAAAUUAUUUAUGUUUAGUCUAUCAUAAAUUCACGUGCUAGCAACCGAAAGGUGUCAACGAGAUUUACUAUAGUACGUGUAUUGCAUGUGUCUAUUACAUCAACUAAUAAAUAUAUAAUAAUUAUUGAAAAUAUUAAUUAAUAAUAAAAUAAAUGCAAUAUUUAUUCACACAAUCGUUACAAAAAUGUUAAUCAAGCUUUUACCCAUUUAUAAGUUUUCAUAUUAGACAAAAUUUUCAUUUAAAACAAACAACUUUUUUGAAAAUAGUAGUUGAUGCUAAACUAAUUGAUGAAAUAUAAUAUCUUUAAUUUUAACAUAAUAAGAAAUUUAAUAAAUUAAUUGUAUAGCAAUAAAUGACACAUAAAAGUUUUUUUUUUUCUACUAAUUGUAAAUAAGUCCUGGUUUCAAAAAGCUUGGACACGAGAGCAUAGAAAAGAUAAUAGUAAAGACUCCUUAAUAUUAUUUUUUUAUUUGUUUAUACUUCAACCUUCAUCCAAGUCAGUCUACCUCUGUCUUUCCAACUUCUCAUCUUUUAACAUGAUGACAAAGGCGCUAGACUUGUUUGAAAAUUCUAUGAUUUAUACAUGAAACUUGAUCAUGUGAAGCAAUAAAUAUAAGCAAGAGCCAUAUAUGAGGUUUAUUAGAUUUUAGAUGGGAAUUUGGAUCGAAGAAAGUGGGUCUGUUCUGAAGUUUGGAUUAACAUUGAUUUGCUUCAAAUAAAAAAAGAGCAGAGAGUGAAGUAGGAGAUCAGAGAAGCUAUUGUUGUGGCGGACAAGAAGCACGAUAUACGCCUCAUAUUAUGACACUAUUUUGACUUAGUAGGAAGGAAAAAUGACAUUUUUCAUCACGUUUCAAAUUAUCGAAUCGUGAAUACGUCUAUUAUAAUCUACCUAGUUUGGAGAGCCCCUUACCACUCCCAGAAGAUGUUAAGCAGAAGUUUUUAUUAAAAUAGUAACUCAUCUUUACUACAUAAGCUUAUACAAAACAAAUGCAGAAAGUAUAAACUACCCAGGAAUUUAGUCUAAACAGGUAUAAAAUUUUCUAAAGCAAAAGUAAAUUGAACACAACUUCCACCAAGAGUAAGAUAAGUAGGAGCUGCUGAGGAAUCUCUAUCUGAAACAAUCAUGAAACCAACAUUGAUUCAUGCAAAAGACUAUACCCCAAAAAGGGUGCAACAAGAGUAUUAUCAGUACAAAUCACACAUACUGAUAAGCCUCAUUAAUCGAUUCAAAUUGAAUUGUACAAACAUAAAAUAAAAUUUUUAAAAAAUCAUGCAUCUUAUUAUUCUCAUUACCUAACCCAGUAUCACUUGUUUUCCAAUUAUGGACACCUGAUAACCACUUAGCCUUACCUUUAUGAUUCCCUAAAAUGAUCUAGUUAUCUUCUGCUAACUCUUUGGUUAUGGACUUUGAGGUACCGUUCUUACCCUUACGACUCCACCGCCCUGAGCCACUACCUCUGGCCUUACACCAUGGACUACCAUGAAUCAUAAAGAACCAACCACAUCAAAGAUGAACCUAACUUGUAUCAAUUCCUUAAAUAAGUCUACCUAGCAUUCAUGGGAAUGUCCCACCAAGACAAGUAAAUCGUCAAUAAGACCCCAAGACACUAACCGAGACUUAACAAUAACUUACAAUCGUCUUCAUAUUAUCCUACUUAUGGAGAAAAUCCUAAACACAAAUGCCAUUUCACUACAGGAGAUAAUAUAAUAAGUUAAAUAACCAACAAGAAUUAAUAGUCAAGUCAAACCAAGUUAAAUUAAGUUAAACACCAAAUUUAAUGAUACAUAUAUAUGCAUUGCUCGGUCCACUGAUGAAAUCGUCAAACUUACUUGUACCUUAUACAUACAUGCUAAGGAUAUUAUAAUCACUAUCUAGUCAUGACCCGUAGGGGAUAAAUUCCAUCCAUGAACCUAAUCCAGACACAAGUAUCUGCUAACCUUAUUCCAUCAAUAUCCCAUGAGAAUGUUCAAUUAUUGAGACAUUCCACAACAAUCCAUAAUGAGAUAUACAAAAUCAUACAGAGCAAAGAUAUCACCAACACUUCCACUAUCCACGUGCUUUAUGUAAGGUUCAUUUAUAAGACAUCUACACUUAAAUAACACAUACUAAAAAAGCAAUGGUGUGAGAUAGUUAACAUACCCACAUAACAAAAUCGAAUUAAACUAUGUAAUCCUCACUCCACUGCCAUCCAAUCCCUAAACAUUCCACUUAAAUUAUUUUCCUUUUCUAAAACAACAAAUCGGGUUACCACCCUUGAUGCUAUCAAAAUUUACCAACACUCCCUGAUCUUGGAUGUAUUUAUAUAUCCAAACACCGCGAUUUAUUCAUAUUUGAACUUAUUUUGUGAAUAAAAAGUGUGCUACUUAUAUUAAAUUAUAAAUUAAAUUGUGUUUCAUGGCUAACUGAUGUGAUUAGACAUAUAGGGUUAAUUUCUCAUAGAUUUGGAAGAAAAUUAGGUACACAUCAUGAAGAGGCGGAUGACCAUGUGGAUCAAAGUAAAAAACAUAUGGAAAUGCAACAGAGUAAAGAGAAAAGAAAGAAGUUGAGGAUUGACGAAAAGAAAAAAAGAAAAAAAGAAACUGGUGAAAAAUUUCAGUGACGCAAUGCGAUCUCAACGCGUUGCGUCGACUGGCAAGAUGUGUGCCUUAGCAAAAAUAUGAAGAAUAAUUUUUAGUGCAUCGACGCGAUGGCGAUGCGUCGCAUUGAUGCAUAAGUUCUGUGCCUUAGAGAAUUCUACGUGUGUAAUUUCUAGUGCAUCAAUGCGAUUCUGAUGCAUUGGUCGAUGCUUAAAACUUUGACACUUAGCCAAAUUUUGAGGAGCAAAUUUCAGUGACAUGAUGUGAUGUCAACAUGUCACGUCAGGUAGUGAAGGAUAUGACUUAGUUUGAUUUCAAAGUUGAAUUCCAGUGUGGCAAUGCGAUGUUGAUGCGACGUGUUGGUUGGAUCAAUGCGAUUAGCGACGCUUCGUGUCAUGGUUUCAGUUCUGGUGAAAUUUUCCUAAGUAUAAAAGGAACAUGUGAGCACAAUUCCAAAUACUUUUUGGCAAGCAUAUCAGCGACGGAAAAGCAUAGAAUUCUUAUUUUAGGGUUCUUCUUAUUUCUUUUGAAUUCUUUACUUCAAGACUAAUUUUGGGUAUGAUUAAUUACUUGUUUUUGAUGUUUAAUUCAAACAUGAAUGGCUAAAUACCCUUGUUCUGGGGUUAAGGUCAAGAACAUGAUUAUUCUUUGAUAUUCUUUAUAGUAGUUUCUUUUUGGAUUAUCACUUGGGUUGUUCUUAAUUUCUUGAGCUUACCACUUUAAUGCUUGGCUGCCAUUAGAAUAAAUUUAUAUUUCUAUGUGAAUUCGGGAGGAGAAUCAUAGAUUAGAACGAGGAAAUUAAGGAGCAAGGUUCUUACCCUUUUAUAAAAUAAGGGGUUUGAAUUAGCAUCUAGGAUAGGGAUAUACCUAGAAGCCUUGUUUGGUUCAAUUGCAAGAAGAUUACUUAAUGAAUCUAGAAGAAUUGUUGUAUCUCUACCGGAGUUGUAGCUGCAAUAUUAAUAGAUAAAAGAUUUUAGGUUGGGAGAUCAAAAUCGUUGCCUAAACCUUGUGAACUAACAGCCUGAUAACCAAUUAGAUUACUAUAAGAAUAGAGAUUUAUAUAAUUGUUCGAGAAGCCUCAACCCUGGAAUUCUUUUCAUACUGUUUACAACCGUUGCUUGCUUUGCUCUAGUCAUAAAAUUUUAUUUCUUAUUUUUUUAAUUUAUAUUUUUAUUCUGAAAUUCAAAAUUAUCUUGAUACUAUACAACACCUAAUACUCAUUGUCUGAAACUAAAAAUUGGUUAAAUUUCUAGUUGUUUAGUCCUCGUGGGAAUGAUAUUUGAUUGUCUAAAUCACUAUAUUACUUGAACGAUCACGUGUACUUGCGUGUGCAUCUGAGUCACAACACUUCCUAUAGUAUAUUCAUUUUCCUUAGGAGUUUACACUAGUGAUCGAUAAGUUUCCCUUUCCACUACCCUAAUUAUGAGUCUACGGUAGUGAACCACCUCCCCGCAGGUUACCUUAACUUUAAUCGAUUUUAGCCAUCCAAUCUCCAUGCCUAGAAGCCUAAUUAUGAAAUCUCCUGUCUAUCUAUGUUACAUUUAUAUUUUGUAAUAUGGAUCUACACUACUCCAUUAACUUUAGCUCACCUGGAUAUCAACCAGCUAUAGGAAGGAUGAACGAAUGUGAAUUUCAACCUUGCCUUAAUAUUACGGAUGCUAUUUCAUUAUUUCUCAACAAAUCAUGGGUUCGCACCCUGUCCGCACCCAUUUUCUUUCUCCGUAGCUCCAAGGCAUGGGAGGCAACCCUAUAUAUUUUUGUAUCCCUCCCACGUCGAUGGUUUCAACUUAUGGAGAGAAAAAAAAUUAAAUUCUGCAUAAGGGGGUUUCUGAUCCGUGGCAUGUCAUUAGUGCGAGAUUUGUUGCUAUAAUAGAAUGAGUCUUGUUAUAGCGGGCUGAUGUCAGCCUGUCACGACCUGACCCGAGGCCCUGGUCGCGACAGGCAUCCCAAACCACACAGGCCCGAGAUACCCCUGUCAUGUCCCAACCCACUAGUGAUAUUAUCCGCUUUGGGCCCAGGCCCGCACGGAUUUAAAACUCAUCACUAGGGAGUAAGACUUUCUUACUUAUAUACCCAGCAUUCCUCUUGUGUUUUACCGAUGUGGGACUUCUUCCUAAGUUAGGAUGUUACAUACAACCCCCCUUAUGGACUCAGCAUCCUUGCUGAGGUUUGCCCUUUCGAACUCAGCAUCCUCGCUGAGGUUUGCCCCACCGAAUGGGAUUUGCCUACACUCAGGACUAAGGUUGGCCCCGCCUUACCGGGAUUUGCAUACACUCAGUUUGAACUCUGGGCCACAUCAAUAGGGACGACAUAGGAGCAGCUUUGAUACCAUUCUGUCAUGACCCAACCUGAGGCCCUGGCCGCGAAAGGGAUCCCAAACCACAUAGGCCCGAGAUACCCUUGUCACGUUCCAACCCACUAGUGAUACUGUCCACUUUAGGACCGGGCCCGCACGACUUUAAAAUGCGUUACUAGGGAGUAAGACUUUCUUACUUAUAUACCCAGCAUCCCUUUUGUGUUUUGCCGAUGUGGGACUCCUUCCUAAGUUGGGUUGUUACACAGCCCAAUCAAUACUUUUUGAAUUUCAAAUUUAACUUGCGUAGCCCCAUUCUAUUUUACGAUCAUAGUUUCGAUAAUUUUCGUAUCCCAUACUCAUAUCGAGGUGUUUUCUAGUAACGGUGAAUUGGGUCGUUACAUCUUUGUCCUUGUGUUAUUGCCUAAUUUUGCUUUUGAUAAUGUAAUAUUUAAUUGUGCUCAUCUAACCAUAGAUUAACUAAAGUGAGAGAGUUUAAUUAAUUACUAAAUGAGCUUAAUAUUAUAAACAGAGCAUCUACUAUCUUUAAGACAAAUCCGAAAUUACAUAACUACUUAAUUUAUUUUACUUAAUAAUUGAUUUGUUUUUAAUCUACCACAAAUUCGUGUGAUAGCAACCUAAAGGUGUCAACUAAAUUCAUUAUAGACUAGUUUAAUGAACGUGCUUUGCACUUGUAUGUCACAUAAAGUAAUAAAUAUAUAAUAAUUCUUGAAACUAAUAAGUAAUGUAAAUAAAUGCAAUAUGUUUUCACAUAAUCCUUACACAAAAUAUUAAUCAAUUUUUUAUCUAUUAAAAGAGCUUUCAAAUUAGACAAACUUUUUCAUUUAAAACAAACAGUUUUUUAAUAAAUAGUAGUUGAUAUUAAAAUAAUUGAUGAAAGUUUAAUAUUUCUAAUUUUAACAUAAUAAUGAAUUUAAAUAAAUCAGUUGUGUAAAAAUAAAUGACACAUAAAAACUUUUCUUUUUCUUUUUUAGUUUCAGCAGACUCAUGAAAUAGUGCAAGGUCUUAGUGCUCAACCAGCUACAACUAAUAACAAAUGAGAGUCCAUACUGAAGGGGAAAAUUUAUUUGAUUGAAGAAAGAUGUCAAAGCUCAGCUUGAACAUAGAAUAUUUAAGGGAAGUAUAAUGAAGUAGAAGUCUAGAGUUUAAUGGCUACAUUUGAAAUAUAAAAAUCAUCAUACUUAUUCGCUUGUAUGAAGAGUAGACUGGUCGAUAAUCAAACUAGAAGACUUACCAUAAGAGAGAUUAUUCAUACUAAAAAAAUUAUUAAAACUAAAGUGGUAAGUCUCAAUCAUGAACUACAAGUUACUGCAACACCUAAUUUGUUAGUGAUAAAAAAGGAUAUAAUGAAUAAUGAAAUAAAGCUAAUCAUAAUUAGGUCACAACAGCUAAGCUUGAUCAAUAAGGUUACCAUUGAGGAGAUCAAAGUUGCAUAAGCGAAACAAGUUAAGCAAAAAGCAAUAAAAUAUUAUGGAUUUAAUUUAUUAUUUUUUAAGAAAGGCUGACAAGUAGUUGGUGAAGAUAUUAUUCAUGUAAUAUCUGAAUUCUUUGCAAAUAUGUACAUGUAUUAAUAAGUUGAUUACACUUCAAUGACAUUAAUUUAAAAAAUAUGAAUUUGAUCACUAUAAAUAAAUUUUGGUUAAUCUCUUGUUGUUCAAUGACAUACAAAAUUAUUUCUAAGAUCCUAACCAAAGAGAAUGCAAGGAAUUGUAAUUGAUCUAGUAAAUUCUAGACAAAACAAUACUUGUUCUAAGAAGAGAUAUCAUAGAUAAUAUUAUGCCUGGACAUGAAUUGAUCAAAAGAUAUGAUAGAAACCACCUCUUCCUUAGGUAUGUGCUUAAGUUGAAUAAAGAAAUAGUCUAUGAAAAUAUUGAAUGAAAUAUCAUUGAGAAAAUACUGAUAGAACUUCAUUUAUCAAGUAAGUUCAUCCAUUGGAUUGUGACGGGUAUGAAAACAGUUUCAUAUUUUUUAUUGAUUAAUGGUAUACUAUCUCCACCUUUUAAAGACAAAAAGGAUUGAGGCAAAGAGAACCAAUGUAUCUUUACUUAUUUGUACUAGUUAUGAAGUACUUUAAUAGGAGUUUAAAGAAGAUGACCAAAAGAAUUACAUUCAUGUUUCACCUCACGUGUGCCAGAACUAGGAUUGUUCAUUUUGAAUAUGCUGUUAAUUUACCGUUGUUUGUAAAGGGAAAUUUGAUUUUGUUCAUCAAAUAGUUUAGUGUAUUAAGGAUUUCUCACAAUCACCUAGACUUGUUACAAGUAUUAUUAAAAGCUUUAUGUACUUUGAGGGUAUCCAUUAUACCAAACAACAACAAAUUAUAGAAAUCCUUUGCUUUACAAGAGGUGAGCCUCAAUGUCCAAGAGGAUCUCUAUGAUUCAAUGUCAACCACUAGUGGAGAAGUGAUUAGGAGAAUCACAAGCUGAACUAAUAAAUUUCUAUUCUAUGCUAGAAUGGAGCAAUUAAGAGUGUCUUAUUUUCUAUUAAGAUACUUUAGGAAUGAGUUUACAUACUGUCAAAAUAAUUAAUCUAAUAAUCAUUACCUACAAAAAAAUUCAUAGACAAGAAGUCAUAAAGAAUCUAAUAAGGCAUGAUUGUAUGAGGAACUUUGUGUCUCUCUAAAAUCGUUGGGGUUAAAUUUUAUGGAUAUUGAGGCAUUGAACAAGUUGCUAUUUGUUAGUAGUUUUGAAACUUAUGUACCAAUAAAGACAGAUCAUGGUUGCUAUAGGUGCAUGAGUAUUUUGGACGAAAUGGACAAUUCCUAAAUGCAAAGUGUACGCAGGCAUUCUGGUUUGAAUAAGAUCCUAAAGUCAGGAAUCUAUUGUAAUGCCUUGAUUUUUUAAAUCGAGAUGCUACACGGUGUCCAUGACCCCGAAGACCACAAACUAACCCAUGACUGAUAUCUGUACCUGUACACUGCAUAAUAUAUAAAUAUAAUUAUGGAAAGCUGGUGAAAACUUGUCAUAAGGUUCAAAACGUCUAAAAGUACUCAAAACUGAAAAUUGAAUACUAAUACAUCUGUCUGAAAAACCUCUAACUGUCUGAUCUAUGGAGUUGAUGGGAUAUGUCCCCAACUAAAUCCGUCUACUGAAAACAAUCUGAAUCUAAUGAGAUAGUAAAAAAAUAAGGAUCAUCCUCGAAUGAACUCGAAUGAAGAGGACUCACUGCUACGUCUUCUGCUGCUGACUGGGUCUGGACUGCUAAGAGUGCUCUGCGGCUCGUGCUUCUAAAGCUAUGGCAUAAAAUAAAACACCAUAGCACAAAUGCAUCAGUAUGGGAAUAUACUGAGUAUGCAAAUAAGGUAAGGCUAAAUGCAAGGGCUUAUGCAUAAACAAUAGCUAACUGAAUGAUAUGCAAGAGCUGGAUUAGCAUACAUAGAGAAUCUAUAACUACUUAACAUACUGUGCAUAAUGUGACUGGGCAUACUGGGACUGAAUCUGAUAACUUAUACUAAAUAUACUAUCAAUCUGAGGUUUCUGAACAUACUGGGAUUAUACGUAUCUAAAGCUAUUGAAACUGAUACCUAUACUUAUUAAUACUGAUAAACUGGAUGACUGAGUCUAUCGAUAACUGAUAUUAACUAGCUGAAUCUGCGAUCAAACGUAUCUAGUAGGAUGAUCUCUAAAUCUUCUAAUAAUGAUUAAGAUUGACUAGGCUUGAGAUCAGGCCAAACGGGUGAUCUCUGGAACUGAUAUUAAGAAUACUCAACUGAAUCUAAGACUGAGAUCAAGCCUAUCUGACGGGUGACCUCUGUAGGUACUAAUACUGAAUAACUUUAUGUGAGACCAAGCCUAGCUAGCGGGUGGUCUAUGAAUCUAUAGAACUAUUUGAGUUCCUCACUGAGAUUGAUGACUGUAUCUGAUAGUCCUGAUUUCUGAGUCCUACUAUGAAGACUGAUACUGAAACUGUAACUGUGGGAGUUCUUACUUAACCGACAUGCCCCGAAUCUGAACUAGUGAGGUCCAACAUAUAACCCCAGCUAGAAGGGCGUUAAUACCGUGUUACGGGUAGAGACCUCUGCUAUGGUCAAGCCUCUCUGAUGGGUGACCUUGAACAAAAAGUCAAGCCUAAGGCAAUAUAAUAGUCAAGUCAAGCCUUAAUCUGACAGGUGAUUCCUAGUCCUGCGCUGGCUACGUAGUUCUGGAGUACAGGGAUUGCUGCUAACGACUCUGUCUCUCUAAAGGGGAAGCCGUCAUCCCCAUACUCGCUCGGUGCUAGUUCCUACUCCCAAUUGAAAGACUCUGCACUGAUUCUUAACUGAACUAAAACUAAGCUGAAUCUAUUAUUAUUCAUAUUUCUUGACUGAUCUGACUGGGUUCACUUGGUUUCAUUAUCUGACGGAAUAGUACUGAAUCUAAUAUCUGACAGAAUGAUACUAAGUUCCAAAUUCUGUAACUAACUGAGUUCUAGUGAUUAUAGCACGACUGGAAUUAUCUUGAGACUGACUCGGCUCUAGGCACAACUAUAAUUUUUGGGUACAAGUGCCCCCAGGACUCGAUAGAAGAAAACUGACAAAACAUGACUUCUUGAAUUCACGACGAACAUCAACAUCAUAGCAUGUAUUCAAGUAUACAUAAUUGAGGACUUCAUACUAACAUAUAACAAUUCGUUCAACAAGGGAUGCACAAGGAUAAGAAUGUACACAAACAUACUAUAAUUUAUUCACUAUGGUCUCUCAACAAACACUUGGCGUGCAUGGCUUAUACUAAAUUUGGGGGUUUCUAGGAAAUAUGCUAUAAUGAUCCAAUUUCCUUCACACAAGCAUUUUAUCAAACACAUCUGGAGCAUGGUUUGGUCAUAUAACAAUUUCCACACCUAAUUCUCAUGGAUAAUCAAUCAACAUACAACUUGAAGGGAUUUAUCUUGAACAUCAUAUAAUUAUUACAUAAUAGGGUCAAAGUUUGCAACUUUAUAAUCAUAUCAUGAAUUAAAACUCAACAAUAAUAUAACCUUCAAACUCAAUUCACCUAAACCAUGGAAAACACAUAAAUUUAAAAUCUUGAAUUUAGAAAGAGGGAUCUUGAACUUCUUGGGUGGAAGGACCCAAGAAUCAACACUUGCAUACCUCAAUGGCUUGAAUCUUGAAAGAGAAUGUAUUUUCUUGAAGGUUCUUGAAUUGGGAAUGAUAAUUUCUUAGUUUUAUUGAAGGAGAGCUUGAAUCUUGUUCUUGGGUGAUGAUCUUGAGAGGAAACCCUAAUUUUCUUGUUCUUGAGAGUGCAGAGGAUUAAGGGUUUUUAAAACUGAUUUAUGAUGGUUAUGUACGUGAUUUUGAUGAUUUAUGUCAUGGAAGGUGAUGGAAAAUUCCAAAAUACCCCUAUGAAACUGCUUCCUAGUUGCUGAAAUUAUCAACUGACGACCAAGGCUGAUAAGCCGUCAGAUCUGUAAUAGCCCAUCAGCCCAGGUGUCACCUAGGAGCUGGAAUUGAUGGGUUGCUGUCUAAGCUUGACGAAAUGGCUGUUAAGUCAUCAGAAAUGUCAUUACAAAUAUGACAAGUCAUCAUAAAUGUCAUCAGAAAUAUGAUAAGUCGUCAAAAAUCUCGUCACUCAGUUUCCAGGUUGACAUGCUGGAGUAAAAUGGAUAUAAAUUUUUGCUCCGAUAUCGAAUUUGGAUGCAAUUGGUAUCGUUGGAAAUUUAAUUAAAUUAUCUAUCUGUUGGUUGGUCAUGAGCUCAAAAAUUCAUAGUACAACAAGAGAUAUGCUCAUUUGAAUUUGACUAUGGCAAUAUUCUUCCCAAGAAUUCAAUCGGUAAGGAAUGUUUUGCUUCGUCUGAUAGCUGAGAGUUAUUUGAAACCUUAAUAUACAUCUAAUUUACACAUAAAACUAUAAAAUAAUAUUGAUGUACUAUGCAUGAGAUUGAAACAUGACGCUAAUAUUGAUUUGGAUUUUUUUUGGGGUAUUACAUCUAUGUUGUACCAGAUGGUCUUACUAUAAAAGAGCUCUUAGAUGAGCGUAGACUUAUAAUAUAAAAAUUUCAUCACAAGCUAAGAGGAAUCCUUCCAAAUGUGGAUCGAAGAGUAAUGGCCUAUAACGAUUUUUGCCGCCAAAAAGGAUAUAUAUAAGGCUGUGUGACAACCCAAAUCAUUGUUUUGCUGAAUUAGGAGGUAAAAUUUUUACCUAGUCUCACCUGAUGCUAUUUAAAAAAAAUUUAAGGCUAUUUUAGUGUUGUACAAAUUUUGAGGGUGUACUACUCGAGGAAAAUCUAGGAUUAAUAUUAGUAUUUGUGGUGAUGUUUAACUUAAUUUUUAAAUAUAUAACGAGUUUAAAAAGUCGUAGCUACCUCUAGCAUCCAAAAUAGAGUUGUAGAACUCUGAUUAAAGAAUUUACCAUGGGGGAAGGGGGGAGGGGGUUCGCAAUUCUAUAUUUUAAAAAGUGUGUUGUAAAAUAAGCAUAAAUAAAGAGAGGCCCAUAGAUUCUGCCUCAGGACCGCUGCAGGAAAAAACAAAAAUCAUUGCAGCAAAAAAGCCACCAUCGAAGUAGUGUCCAUUAUUAAGCCACGAACUGCUGCAGUGGUAACACACGGUAUUUUUCCAAUUUUAAUUACUCAGAAUAUAAUUUUCAUUUCCACUUUUAAAAAAAUGAGUAUGGGCUUAUCAAGAGGCAAUUUCUGCAGAGUUUAUGAGAUUUUCAUCUGUAAAGGUAAGUUUAUUACAAUCUAAAUUUGAAUUAAUUCUUAGAAUCCAUAGAAAUUGUUAGAAAACUUAUUGAUAUUGGAAUUUUGGGGGUGGUGGUGGUGGUGGUGGUUUAACCCUAGUUCAUGAUGCUGAUUUUAAUUGGUGUGAAUAAGUACAAAAUUAGUAGAUAAUAAUCCUAGAGAGUUUAUUAGAGAGUUGACCAAAUCCUAGGUUGACCAAAUAAGCUUAUUUCCUCCCAAUUCAUACAUCCUACUCAGCCGAAGAUUAUGCUAAGCUGUAUAUGAGAGAGUUGGUCAGAUUGGACGGAGUUCCUUUAUCUAUUAUUUUAGAUAGGGGUACUCAGUUUUCCUCUUACUUUUGGAAAGCCUUUCAAAAAGGUCUUGGUACCCAAGUUCAUCUCAGUUCAGCUUUUCACCCUCAGACAGAUGGUCAGGAGAAAGUACCAUUCAGACCCUAGAGGAUAUGUUGAGGGCAUGUGUUCUUGACUUUAAGGGUAUUUGGGAUGAGCACUUACCGUUGAUCGAGUUCUCCUACAAUAACAGUUACUAUGCUAGCAUCCAGAUGGCCCCAAUUGAGAAUCUUUAUGGGAGGAGAUGUAGGUCACCUAUCGGUUGGUUUGAAGUAGAUGAGGCCACUUUGAUAGAGCCAAAUGUGGUGUUAUAAGCCAUAGAGAAAGUCCAGUUGAUUUGAGAAAGGUUAAAAAUAGCUCAGAGUGGUCAGAAAUCUUAUGCAGAUGUAAGGAGAAGAGAUCUUGAGUUUGAAGUUGAUGACUUAGUNNNNNNNNNNNNNNNNNNNGGGCGGGGGGGGUGAACAGAUUUGGAAAAAAAGGGAAGCUUAGUCCCCGAUAUGUUGUCCCUUAUAAGAUAUUGAGCUAUGUUGGAAAGGUGGCAUACGAGCUUGAGUUUCCUGCAGAUUUGUCAUCCGUUCACCCUGUGUUCCAUGUAUCCUUAUUGAAGAAAUGUAUUGGUGAUUCAGUUGUUGUAGUACCCUUAGAAAGAACAGAUAUUCACGAUAGCCUCUUUUAUGAAGAAAUUCCAGUUGAGAUUCUUGAUCAUCAAAUUCGUAGUCUAAGGAACAAAGAAGUUUCCUUGGUCAAAGUUUUUCGGCGGAAUCAGUUCGUUGAGGGAGCCACCUAGGAAGCAAAAACAGAUAAACGAACAAAGUACCCUCAUCUUUUUGCCAUAAAUUCAGAUUUAGGUCAAGGUAAUAAGAUUCCUUAGAUCAUCUUUUUUUCAUUCUAAGUUUCAGCUUUAUAUAGUCACUCUCUUGAUAAUGCAUGCAUUUACAAAUCAGUUUAGUCAUGUUUUUAGUUGUGCAUGCCAUAUUAUUGUCUCAGUCCCUCAGUAACCUCAGCUUAAUCAGUUUCAUUCGAGGCCAGAUAUUUCCAAAGGGGGGAUAUUGUAAUACCCCGUACAUUCCUAGUUCAGCUCAACCCCUAACAUUUGCUUAUAGAACUUAUAACCUAAAAAUAAAGCUAAGUGUUAAGGGGAUUAGUCACUUUUGACUCCCUUUUAACUUUGAGAUUUUUAAGUUGACCUUCUGAGAUUUGAGACGAUGAUUUUUGAGUUAAAUUAUAUUUAGGGGUGUAAGUAACAUAUUUCGGGUAUGUUUUGGAUUUUUCUAACUAGGAUUGGAUGGUGGUUGGGUCGGAAUUACAGCAGCUCACCAUGAUUACAUCGCAUCGCGUUGAGUAUGGCGUUAAGAAGUUCACCGUAUCGCAGUGGAGUGUAAAAAGGCAAUUGUCAAUUUCUAGGGGGCCAUUGCGAUUCCACCAUGGGAAGGGGGGGGGGGGUAUUGUGAUGACCCACUCACUGCAUUGCGGUGACGCUCAAAUUAGAAAUGGUCCCUUUUCCGGUGAGUCACCGCGACUCCACGCAUCGUGGUGUGUAUCACAAUGACCUAUUCACCACAUCACGGUGAAGCCUUAAACGACAUUCCAGUUCCGAGUAUUAAAUCCCCAAGGGUAGUUUAGUCUUUUCUCGACCCCCUAAGUCAUGAAAAACAAAAGAUUAAACCUAUUCUAAGCAUAGUAUACCCCUUUUUCGUCAAUAUGCUCUCAAAGAAAAUCCUAGAGCUUCAAUUUUAAACUUCAAAAAAUCCAAAAUUCACCUUCUUUUUCAAAGAUAAUUCAAAAUUCAAGGUUCCUAGUUUAAGAUCUUCAAGAAAAAAUCUUCAAGAACACAAAUAGGAAUUCAAAGUCAAGUGUCUUCAUCAAUUUAAUCAAUUAAGGUAUGUAGGGUUAUGAACAAGGAUAAUCCUUUCAUCUUUGUGCCCAAAAUUUGUUUUUAAACUUGAAUUUACAUGAAUAUACAUGAUUUGAGUGUAGGGUUUAUACUUAAUUCUCCAUUAUUUGAUGUUUAUGAUGUUACAAGUCAUUUGAAUAUGGAAUUGCAUCUCUAUUUUUACGUAUCCAUAUGUUUGGAUUAGUUUUACAUAUAUUGAGAAUUGAAUUUCAUUGUCUCGACUAUAAUUGUUAAAGAAAUUUCAAGAUUUUGGUUAUCAAGCAUGAACCUUAUGAUGAUUUGACAUGAGUUAAAGCAUGGGUUUAUUAAGACCUAUUUUGAAUAUUGAUAUUUCAAUUAGAUCCUCAGCUAAGAUAUGGAAUCCACUUUAUAGUUUUGAUGGCAAUUUUGAUUACAGAUUUGUUUGAUUACUGUUUAAAACAGAUAAAAGCAUAAUUGGUUUUCAUUAUAAACCUUUGUGCUAUUUCAAAGUGGAUUUCCUAUAGCAUGAGCAUACAGAUUAAAGGGAGUAGUAUUUAGAUUAUUCCUAUUUAUAUGGAUGACAGAUAUAGAUUAUGAUCACAUAGCUCAGGUUAUACUCCUUGGCAAGAGUAUGACACCUCUCCCCAAUGUAAGGAUUUUCCCUUAGGGGAACUUGACCUUGUACUCUAUGAUAGCUCACAUAAUUUAUGUCGGUUCGAAGAACCUCCCUUGUAGAAUAACUUUUAAAAGAAUUUCCUAUUAGAAAAGCCUAACAGAAAAGAAUUACCGAAAAGCUUUAGAAUUUAAGUGUGAAGACUCAUAGUUUCAUCCAAAUAUUAUUUUACAUCAGAUAUUAGUCAUGAGAUUUCAUCUUUUUCUUUUCAUGAUCCAUCGUGCUUACAACUGUCUCUAUCUUCUUUUUACUCGUGCUCUUACAUUACAAAAUAUACCUCUUCAUAGAGCUAAUGCCCGUAAACUAAUAACCAGCCACCCCAACUUACUGACCCUCUAAAUGAGAAUGUGUCCCAUACUGAAUUUUGGGUCACUUUUCAGGUGUUGGCCUAAGCUGUAACUACCAAUGUUCAGGGCAAUCAUCAGGCUAUAAUUCCUCAUCAGAAAGAGGGUGAUUUUACUACAGCCAGACUUUAUGACUUUAUGAGAAUGAAUUUGCUUAAAUUCUUUGGGUCAUAGGUAGGUGAGGACCCACAGUUGUACCUUGAUGCAGUGAAAAAGAUCGCUAAAGUUAUGCAUGUUACUGUAGUAGAGAGUGUAGAAUUGGCUUCUUACAGGCUGAAGGAUGUUGCUUUUGAUUGGGUGGUUAUAUAGAAGAAAGGUAGAGGUGAAAAUGCAGCUCCCAUGAGUUGGAAAGCAUUUCAGGAUGCGUUUCUAGAAAGGUUCUUUCUGCGUGAGUUACGAGAAGCAAAGAUUGAGGAGUGCAUGAACCUGAGGCAGGGCUCAAUGACAGUGAAAGAGUAAUGCCUUAAGUUCAAUUAGUUAUCUAAGUAUGCUCCUGCUUUGAUAGCUGACCCUAGAUCCAGUAUAAGUAAGUUUGUUACCGAAGUGACUGGUUUGGUAAUCAAGGAGUGUAGUACUGCCAUGCUUAUUGGGGAUAUGAAUAUUGCUAAAUUAAUAACUCAUGCUCUACAGAUUGAGGCAGAAAAGCUGGGGGGAGGGGUAGACGAAAUAAGAAGGUAGAACUGGGAAAUUUGAGUAUGGCCAACCAAAAUUUUCAAAGGGAAACUGUUUGCAGUUUUAGAGUCGCCUGUCUUUGUUGGCGCCAUCUUCAACCAGUGCUCCUACACCCAGAACCAAGUAGGAGUAGUGGGGUAGGACUUCUAUGUCCAGAUCUUAAAAUAGUGUGAGUGGAAGGCCUAGUUAUCCUGCAUGUUCUAGAUGUGGUAAGAAUCAUCUUGGUGAGUAUUUGUUAGAACAGAAAGGUUGUUUUGGAUGUGGUAAGCUGGGUCACGAAAUCAAAGAGUUCCCAUAUGCUAAGUAAGGAAACAUGGAUGUUCGUCUCUAGACUCAAGCUACUAGUGCACCAGUUCCUCUAGGCUGCCCCUCCCCUCCCCUCCCCGGGGCGCAUUAUCCAGUACUGGUGGCAGUCAGUGCUAGAAUUAGUUCUAUGCUUUACCAUCCCACUAGGAGCAGGAGAGUUCACCAGAUGUUACUGCUAUGCUUCAUGUCUUUCAUCUUGAUGUAUAUGGUGUUGCUAGACCCAGGGUCAAAUCUCUCUUAUAUGACUCUAUUGGUAGUGGUAAAUUUUGGAGUAGAUCUUAAAAAACUUUCGAAGCCCUUCUUAGUUUCUACCUCAGUGGGUGAGUCAGUUGUUUCCAAACAGAUCUAUAAAAAGUGUCCUCUCACUGUCCUUCAUAAGAUCAUUUUAGCAGAUUAAAUAGAGUUGGAUAUGGUCUACUUUGACCUUAUUCUGGGCAUGAAUUAACUUCAUUCCUUGGUAUGAAUUGUCUUUACUCCUGCUAUGCAUCUAUAGAUUGUCACAUUCGAGUGGUGAAGUUUCAAUUCCCUGAUGAUCCAGUCUUUGAGUGAGAAGGUCGUUCAGUAUCUCACAAGAGUCAUUUUAUAUCCUAUCUUAAGGCUAGAAAAUUGAUAUCAAAAGGGUGCAUUUAUCAUCUAGUUCGAGUCAAAGACAUUAAGUCUGAGGCUCCAACAGUGUAGUCAGUCCGGGUAGUAAAUGAGUUUCCAGAAGUUUUUCCUAAAGAUUUACCAAGGGUUCCUCUAGACAGAGAAAUAAAAUUUGGUAUUGAUUUUUUUCCUAAUACUCAGCUCAUAUCCAUCCCUUUAUAUCAUAUAGCUCCAGCCGAUCUUAAAGAGUUAAAGGAGCAACUCAAGGAUCUCUUAGAUAAAGGUUUCAUAAGGCCCAGUGUUUCUCCAUGGGGCGCUCCCGUCCUAUAAGAUUAUUAUACAAGUGAGUUUGAUGAUUUCAUGAGUGGAUCAAGUAAUGCAUAUAUAUUUAUCAUUGAUUCAGAUUAUUCCUAUUUAUAUGGAUGACAGAUACAGAUUGUGAUCACUUAUAAACUCAUUGGCAAGAGUAUGACACCUCUCCCCAACGUGAGGUUUUUCACUUUGGGGAACUAGACGUUGUACUCCAUGAUAGCUCACAUGGUUAAUGUCGGUUAGAAAAACCUCCCUUGCAGAGAACAACUUUUAAAGAAUUCCCUAAUAGAAAAUAAUUAUAGAAAAGCUUUAGAAUUUAAGUGUGAAGGCUCACAGUUUUGUCCAGAUAUUAUUUUACAUCAGAUAUUAGUCAUGAGAUUUCAAUUUUUAGUUUACAGAUAUAAAAGUGAGUUCUUUCCGCACUUAUCCUGCAUGAUUUGAAGAUAGAAUAUGGGUAAAACUUUAGAACUAAAUGUGAUAGCUCACAAGAUUUAUACAGUAUGCCUUAUGAUUUAUGAUUUAUGAUUUCAGCUUUUCGUUAUUCAAUCCAAUGUGAGUUGUUACUCUUAGAAUGCAUUAUUUCAUGAAUUUUUAUGAACAUUGAAAUAGUAAUUUACUUAUGCAUUUACUCCCACAUGCUUAGUACAUUCCAAAAGUACUGAUCCAAAUAUAUGUCUAUGUGCUGCAUUAUUUAAUAAUGUAGGUUCAGGUGCUCAGUUUCACUAGCGUGAGUGAUUUCGAGCAGCUCUAUCUACAUCCCGACAGUUGGUGAGUUCUCAUAGUUCGGGGACCUAGUUUUUUAGACUUUCAGUUAUUAAAGUAGCCUGUUCAGUUAUUUCAGUCAGUUUGAGGCAGCUGGGGGUCUGUCCCAACUCUCUAGUUGUUAGUAGUAGAGGCUUGUCAGACUACUAGUUAUAACUCAGAUUUCCAAUGAUUGAUUGUCCAGGCUUUCAAGUUAAGUAUUCUCAGAUAUUAUGUUCAAUUAAUUCCAGAUUAGUCUCAGACAAAAUUCAGUAUUCCAGCAUUAUUUAUAUGUUUAUAUUUCUCUAUUAUGAGUUUCAGAUUUAGUAGAAGGCUUACAAGGUUUGCUUGAGACUACUCAUACUCUUGAGCAAUGCGUGACAUCUCGGAACCCAUUUUUGGGGCAUUAUAGAUGAACUCUGAGAUUAUCCAAAUGCUGAAUAUACUUCACCAUAUCCCUCUUCUUCGCAUCCAUGAGACAAGCUUCCCAUGGACAACCUGCUAAGAGCAUCAAUAACCACGUUAGCUUUACCUGGAUGAUAGUAGAGACUCAUGUCAUAGUCCUUUAGCAAUUCGAGCCACCUUCUUUGCCUGAGAUUCAAUUCUUUCUAGGUGAACACGUACUGUAGGAUCUUAUGAUCAAAAUAAAUAUCAACAUGAACCCCAUACAAAUAAUGCCGCCAGAUCUUUAAUGCAAACACAACAACCAAUAAUUCCAAAUCAUGAGUCAGAUAAUUCUAUGCAAACACCACAACCAAUAAUUCCAAAUCAUGAGUUGGAUAAUUCUUCUCAUGAACUUUAAACUUUCUAGAGGCAUAAGCAACCACCUUGCCAUGGUGUAUCAAAACACAUCCCAAUCCCACCCUGGAUGCAUCACAAUAGACAACAACACCAUCAGUGCCUUCAGGCAGAGUCAAGAUCAGAGCCGAAGUCAACUUAUCCUUUAGCCUUUUAAAACUACACUCAUAAGUAUCAGAUCAUAAGAAUUUUACCUUUUUCUGAGUCAACUUUGUCAAGGGGCAGUUAUAAAAGAGAAAAUUUCCACAAACCUCCUAUAAUAACUGGCUAAAUCCAAGAAGCUCUGAAUAUCAGAUGAAGUCAUGGGUGUAGGCCACUUCUCAACCACUGCAACCUUCUGUGGAUCCACCAUGAUCCUUUCACUAGAAACAACAUGACCCAAAUAAGUCACAAUAUUCAAUCAGAACGCACACUUAAGAAAACAUACAAACACUGAUCCUUUAAGGUCUGCAACAUAAGGCAGAGGUGAUCGAAAAGAUCUGCCUCACUCUUGAAAUAUACCAUGAUAUCAUCAAUAAAGAUAAUCACAAACAAAUCCAAGCACUGACAAAAAACCCGAUUCAUAAGAUCCAUAAACGCAGCUGAGUCAUUGGUCAAACCAAAGGACAUCAACAAAAGCUCAAAGUGACCAUACCAUAUUUAAAAAUCAUUAUUAGGGAUAUCCACCUCCCUAUUCUUCAACUGAUGGUACCCAGAUCGAAGAUCAAUCUUGGAAAAGAACUAAGCACCCAGAAACUGAUCAAAGAGAUCAUUAAUCCUUGGAAGUGGAUACUUAUUCUUCACGGUUAAUUUAUUCAAUUGGCGGUAAUCAAUACAUAUCAGAAGGGAACCAUUCUUGGUAUGUACGAAAAGAAUAUGAGCACCCUACAAAGACACUAGGAUGGAUAAAACCCUUUUAAGAAGAUCUUUUAACUGCUUCUUGAGUUCCUUCCAAUCAGCUGGAGCUAUUCUGUAAGAAGGGAUAGAAAUAAGAUGAGUGUUUUGAAGAAGAUCAAUCCCAAAAUUGAUUUCCAUAUUGGGAGGAAUAUCAUUAGGGAACACCUCAGAAAAUUCACAGACACAGGAACAAUCUAUAAGGAAGGACCUUCGGAUCUGGAAUCCUUAACAUGCACUAAGUGAUAAAGACACCCUUUGGAAACUAAUUUCUGGGCUCUAUGAUAUGAAAUAAACCUUUACUUAUCCACCAGGGAACUACUCUCCCAUUCGAUUAUCAGCUCAUUAGAUAAAUUUAAAUUGACCCUUUGAGUCCGAUAAUUAAGAGACGCAUAGCAUGAAUCCGACCAAUCCAUCUACAAAAUCACAUCAAAGUCUAACAUGACCAACUCUAUUAUAUCCACCAAGUUCUCCCUACCAUGAACCGAUAUCACACAACCCCUAUAAGCUCUCCCAGCAACAAUGGAGUCACCCACCAAAGUGGACACAGAAAUAAGAUCCGAAAUACACUCAGGAUCAAAACCAAAAUUUGAUAGCCACAUAAGGGGUCACAUACAAGAGAGUAGAACCUAUAUCAAGUAGACAAUAUAAAUCAUGAGAAAAGAGUUUGAGAGUACCAGUAACAACAUUGGGGGAUGCUUUUGAAUCCUUGCUUGUGGCAAGAGCGUACAGAUGGUUUCGACCAGUGUCGAAGCCAAAAGCAGAAGUAGGAUCUUUUAGUGUAGGAGCUGAUAAAGUAGUAACAGAAAUCUUAUUUGCCUUAGAAGCAACCUUAGAAGAACAAUCCUACUACAGAUGACCAAUCUGACAAACAUUUAAAGCACUUAUUCCUUCUUUCCUAGAAAAAAUCACGAUGCACCUGACCAUAAAAUCUACAAGGAGGAUAUGAAGGAGUUGACUGAGCCCCACUAGCCUGCGACUGGGUUUUUAGUGCCCUAAACCCAUUAUUUUAUUGAGAACGAUGAUCGCCUAACUACUUCGAAUAAGGAGCAUUACCCAUAGAGUACGAAUUGGAAUUGCCUCACUUUUCUUAGAUGACUCUCCACCAUCUCUACCACUUUACUAUUGACCUUCACCCUUAUCUGAAUAGCAAAGUUUCUUAUUUUCCUCUCACUUAUCUCCACUUCUUUAUUUCUUCUUAUACUUAUUGCAUAUACACCACAUAUCUAGAGAUGUCCAUAUGCUUGUUCAACAAGUCAGCCUUGCUCUCCAAGAUCAACUCAUGAGAUAAAUCCAAGGUAAAAUUUCUCAUUCUAUCCCUUAUGCUCGACAUUAAUUCAGGAGCAUAAUUCGAUAAAUGAUGAAACUUCAAGGCAUACUUCUUUACUAAUAUUCUACCAUGUUUUUAAUUCAUAAAUGUCUCAGCCUUUGCCUUCCUUAACUCCUGAGAAAAGAACCAAUCAAGGAAAGUACUAGAGAAAUUAUCCCACUAGGAAAACUUAGUAUUAUCACCCCUAGUCUGUUCCCACUCUUCAUACCAUUGGUAUGCUACAUCCUUUAAUUGAUACGCAACGAACUCUACACCCUCCACAUCAGUAGCAUGAAUCAUAGGAAAGAUCUUUUCUAUAUCAUCAAUAAAGUUUUGAGGAUAUUCCUCAACUUUAGAGCCAGUGAAAACAUGAGGACUCAACCUCAUAAAUUGACUAUCUCUAGUGGCCUCAGAUGAUGGAGCAAUAGGAGCAACACACUCAAUUUGAGAGCCCACCAGCUGGAUAAGUUAAUAAAUCAACUAGCGAAACUCAGUAUUAGACACAUCAGCUUGAGGUGCCUGAGGAGGAAUAGGGGGAACCGGUGGAGCUCUCUUAGGGAAAUCAGAAGCAGCGAGCCUAGACUGGUCUGAACUACUGAAGUUGGAUGAGCUCAAUCCAUAUUGUCCUCAUAUAGGAUAGAAGAGUUCCUGCAACAUCAAAUCUUCUGGGAGUCAUGAUCUAAAAAUCGAACACAUGGGAAUUAGAGAAGAUUUAAGACCUUAGACUCUAUAGCUUGAAAUAGAACAACAAGAAAGGAAAUUAUUCCUAAAUGCCUCGUAGCCUUUACCUUAUAAGUGUGGCUCGCUACAAACCCAUAAAUGAGACUUUACUUGACACGACUUUGUUGGACACCUAAUGACACCAAACCUAGUCUCUAAUAACAUCUCUUUCAUGACCCAAACUAGUGCCUGGCCGUGAUGGGUAUCUCAAGUCCUACAUGGAACAGAGAUCACCCUCUUCACCCAACUAAACCAAACCCAACACCCUCCAAGGUCGAAGAAUUUUAAAUAUAUAACAAGAUAGUGUAUAAUAGACUUAAGAAAGUUCAAAACAAGUCAAUAAUCAACAGUCAACAAUCGAUCAAACAACCUACCAUCACCACCCAAUAACCACAGAAGUCAAAACAAAGCCUUCUAAACAAAGAACCAAAACUGAGUAUCAAUAGAGAGUCAGGAUAUGCUCCUGACUAUAGUCAAAAAUAAGCCUAAACAGUCUAAGACAUAAGAGACCAAAACAUGAAAUGUAGACUUUCGAAGUAUGGAACCUCACCAUUUCAAUAUCAACUCACGAGAUGAUCCCAAAUCUUAGUCACUAAGCAGGAGGAGUAGAAGUAUGGACAGUUCCUAUAUUAUGCAGGGAUACAACAUUUGAAGAUGUUUAGUAGUUGGAGCACUAGCAUGAAACUCUAGGAUAAGGUUAACGUAAUGACAUAGUUAAUAGAUCAAAAUUAUUCAAAAUAAAUGCACAUAACUAAAUGCAGAGAGACACACACACACAUACACACACACAUAUAUAUAUAUAUAUAUAUUACAUGUCGAGAUACGGAACAAGACUUAACAUACGCUUUAAAGACUUAGUCUAGAUUAUGUAGCUCAACCAUCAUAACAUGUAGCCACGAGCUAUAUGGGCCCUAUCUCUCACCCCCUAGUAGAUCCCCAAUGCGUGUAGCCGCAUAAACCAGAGAAUAAUCUCUCAUAUAUAUAUGCAUGGGGGACUUGAGCCUCUAAAUUAUAUGAUAAGAUGGCUUAAGCAACCGCUCAUGGGAUGAUUUAGGAGGGAUUCGAACCUCCCUAAUCAUGAAAUAAUAAUAAGAAGGAAUCGAACCUCCCUGGUCACAUUGAACCCCGCGUUGGUAAAUAUGGUUUGCAGUAUUGGUCACUCGGACCUCCACUUUCAUGACUCAACUAUACAACCCUCAUUAAAUCCUGAUUAAAUUAUUUAUAACACAAUCCCAUUUGCUGUACACCUUACAACUAGGUUCACCUAACCUGUCAAGACACAUUACGACUCAUCAGGUGAGCCAUUAACAGUACAAGAAGUUCAUAACUCAAAAAAUUUUUGAGAAACAAAAACCCGAGGUGUUACAGUGUUACUGUGUUAUUUGUGGAAAAGAAAGAUGGUAGCAUAAGGAUGUUCUUUGACUACUACCAGUUAUAUAAGUUGACUAUUUAUAACAAAUAUUCCUUGCCUAAAAUAAAUGACCUAUUUGACCAGUUGCAUAGAGAUAUAGUAUUCUCUAAGAUUGAUUUAAGAUCGGGCUACCACCAACUCAGGAUUGGGGAGGAGAUAUCCCAAAACUACUCUACUAACCCAUUAUAGGUAGUAUGAGUUUUUUGUAAUGUCAUUUGGCUUUACUAAUGUCCCAUCUACUUUUAUGGGUUUAAUGAAUGGGGUUUUCAUGUAAUUCUUGGAUUCAUUUGUGAUUAUAUUCAUUGAUGACAUAUUAGUUUACUCUAAUAGUGAAUAAAAGCAUAAAGCUCACUUGUGUACGAUGCUGGGGGUUGCGUAAGGAGAUGUAACUAUAUGAUAAACAUUCAAAGUGUAAGUUUUGGCUAUCUUUGGGGCCCAUGUUUUCUAAGAAUAAGGUUUUGGUUGAGCCAUUAAAGAUAGAAGUUGUUAAGAAUAGGGGUAGGCCAAAAAAUAUGAUAGAAAUUCAAUGUUUUAAGGGGUUGGCCAGCCAUUAUCAUUGGUUUGUUAAUCAUUUUACUGUCAUUGCUUCACAUAUGACCCACCUUACUCAUAAGGAUAUCUUACAUAUGUAGGAUGAUAAGUAUGAAGAGAGGUUCUAAAUCUUAAAAUUUUAUUGACCUCAGCCCUAAUUAUCAUGUUGCUUAUUGAGGGUAAGGAUUUCAUUAUAUAUGAUGAUACCUCACUAUUGGGAUGCCUCAUGAUUGGGUUUGGGUGUUAUUUUGAUGCAGGAUCAGAACAUUAUUGCUUAUCCUUUGAGACAACUAUAGAUUUUUGAGAAAAACUACCCCAUAUAUGAUUUAGAAUUGGAAGACAUAGUGUUUGCUUUGAAGAUCUGGAGACAUUACCUCUAUCGGGUAAAAUGUGAAGUAUUCACAGACCUCUAUAACUUGCAACAUGUGUUCACCCAGAGAGACUUGAAUCUAAGGUAAAGAAGGUGGAUGAAGUUGAUCAAAGACUAUCAUAUAUCAAUCUUAUAUCACCCUGGUAAGGCCGAUGCGAUAGCAGUCACACUCUGCUAAAAACUAGUAAGCAUAGGAAUUACAUGGCUGGUGAUGAGUGGUGAAUUUGUCACUUAUUUUCCCUCAACAUUUUUGCAUACUACUAUGAUUUAAACGUAUGAAUGAGACAAAUUUAUGGUUUAAUGCACUAUUUUCCACAUCUUGUAGGCAUACAGGUAAUGAGAAGAAGAGUGGUAGAUUUGAGCUAAUUAGGAUCAAAAAAGAGAAAAGAAGUGUAGCUGGAAGACUUGAAGCAGAAAUCAACCUCAGUUACACGAUCGCGGUCUGAGGAUUAUGAUUGUGGCCAGUCAAGAUAGGUCAAAUAACCAUGAUCGCGGUGCUCUUAACGCAAAUUGAGGCAUUUACGAUUGUGGUCAAGCUUCAGCAAUUGCGGUAAUGCGAGAUUAUGCCCAAUGGAAAUUUUGUAAAUUUUCCCAGCCGGCCCCAAAUUCCUUAAAGUCUUAAACCCUUUCUGAUUUUUGGAUAUUCUGGAGAUUUUUAUCCUAUCCUUAGUUUAGGGUUUUCGUGUCCUUUGGUGCUUGGAGAAAAAUUUGUACUAAUCUUAAGAUAUGAAGAUAUUAGAGUGACUCCUAAGUGAAGAAUUGAAAAAUACCAUUGAGGAUUCAUUGGAAUUUAGUGUAUUUUGCAUUUUCUUUAUUUUUG
rnacentral:lncRNA from 1 species